rnacentral:rRNA from 1 species
CCUACGGGAGGCAGCAGUGGGGAAUAUUGGACAAUGGGCGAAAGCCUGAUCCAGCAAUGCCGCGUGAGUGAUGAAGGCCUUAGGGUUGUAAAGCUCUUUUACCAGGGAUGAUAAUGACAGUACCUGGAGAAUAAGCUCCGGCUAACUCCGUGCCAGCAGCCGCGGUAAUACGGAGGGAGCUAGCGUUGUUCGGAAUUACUGGGCGUAAAGCGUGCGUAGGCGGCGAUUCAAGUCAGAGGUGAAAGCCUGGAGCUCAACUCCAGAACUGCCUUUGAAACUAGAUUGCUAGAAUCUUGGAGAGGUCAGUGGAAUUCCGAGUGUAGAGGUGAAAUUCGUAGAUAUUCGGAAGAACACCAGUGGCGAAGGCGACUGACUGGACAAGUAUUGACGCUGAGGUACGAAAGCGUGGGGAGCAAACAGGAUUAGAUACCCUGGUAGUCCACGCUGUAAACGAUGAUAACUAGCUGUCCGGGCUCUCAGAGCUUGGGUGGCGCNGCACGCAUUAAGUUAUCCGCCGUGGGAGGUACGGUCGCGAGAGUAAACUACAAGAGUAGUAGCGNGAGAGAGACGACGACGACGACGACGGAGGAGGAGG